CUUUGCUCAUUAGAAGCAGGGAGCUCUCUUCUUCUUCCCCUGGAUCCUUCCUUUAAAAUAGUUUCUUUUGUCUUAAGUUUUCAUUUCUACGUUUGUCCCUUCAUUCAGUCUCUUAAAUGACGGUCUCAAGCAGUAACAGUAGUAAUUGCUGUAAUGACGGUCUCAAGUAGUAACCAGGGCACUCUGCCACAAGUGGCACCUGAACAGGGACUAACAGGGACUAUCAAGAACAAACGGAGACCUGAAGAGACCUGAAGGGAACUGAAGAGGUCUGCAGGGACAAAUAGAGAUAAGUAGGGAUAAAUAGAGAUAAAUAGAGACAAAUAGAGAUAGGUAAGGAAUGACAGGGACUUGCAGGAAGUAACAGGGACCAUAGGGACAGAUAGGGAUAGAUAAAGACUAGCAAAGACUAGCCGAGAUUAGCAAAGACCAGCAAGGACUAGCAGAGACUAGCAAAGACUAGCAGAAACUUGCAGGGACAGGCAGAGACAGAUAGGGACAGAUAGGGUCCUACAGGGACUUGAACGAGGAAGAUCUGCUGGAAAAGAAAAGAACUACAACCAACCAGAUGAACAAGAAACCCUGUUACAAGUCUGCUGGCAGCAACAUAAGGGUAUGCUUGUUUUUGCAGGAAAUGAACAAAAAGUGUGGGUGCCCCCAAGGUGUGUACUACCAUGGAAUGGGAGAUUGGAGGGACACAUGGAUCCCAACCGUGGGCCUGGUUCCCCCAGUAUGAGCUGAAUACGAAGACAGAACAAACCACCAACCGGCAAUUGAAGUGACACAAAGUGAACCGGGUUCUAUAAAUUACCAUGGAAAGUGGUGAGCCAACGAUUUGGCAGAACAAAACCCUGAGGAUAUGCAAACAAAAGGGACUAUGGAAUUUGCAAUUGCAGAUUAAAAUUGAAGAAGAAAACAUUUGAGUUGCAAAUACCGUAUUAAAAGUGGACACUGCUUAUGACUGCUGUAUGCAACAGUUUUUCAGGCCCGAGAGGAACCCAGACAUGCUCUAUUUGCAAACCGACUGCAUGAAACAAAAAGCACGGUAAUUCUGAAGCUGUUGGCUUGGAUGAAAUGAGAAUGUAAUUAAAAAGAAAAAGGUUAGCAAAAGAACAUGCUGGGAAUUGAAAAUAAAAAUCUGAAAUGAUGUCCCAGCCUGCCCUUAAGGUCUUUUCCACCAUGUAGAGAGCUACCUCAAAUGCUCUACUUGUCCCAGAGUCUAUGUUCUUUCACUACUAUUGCCUAUAUCUGUGUUUUCUGCUUUCAAUAAUCUAUUGAAAU
rnacentral:lncRNA from 1 species